UUAAGUUAUUAAGGGCGCACGGUGGAUGCCUUGGCACUAGAAGCCGAUGAAGGACGUUACUAACGACGAUAUGCUUUGGGGAGCUGUAAGUAAGCUUUGAUCCAGAGAUUUCCGAGUGGGGAAACCCAGCAUGAGUUAUGUCAUGUUAUCGAUAUGUGAAUACAUAGCAUAUCAGAAGGCACACCCGGAGAACUGAAACAUCUUAGUACCCGGAGGAAGAGAAAGAAAAUUCGAUUCCCUUAGUAGCGGCGAGCGAAACGGGAAGAGCCCAAACCAACAAGCUUGCUUGUUGGGGUUGUAGGACACUCUAUACGGAGUUACAAAGGACGACAUUAGACGAAUCAUCUGGAAAGAUGAAUCAAAGAAGGUAAUAAUCCUGUAGUCGAAAAUGUUGUCUCUCUUGAGUGGAUCCUGAGUACGACGGAGCACGUGAAAUUCCGUCGGAAUCUGGGAGGACCAUCUCCUAAGGCUAAAUACUCUCUAGUGACCGAUAGUGAACCAGUACCGUGAGGGAAAGGUGAAAAGCACCCCGGAAGGGGAGUGAAAUAGAACCUGAAACCGUGUGCUUACAAGUAGUCAGAGCCCGUUAAUGGGUGAUGGCGUGCCUUUUGUAGAAUGAACCGGCGAGUUACGAUUUGAUGCAAGGUUAAGCAGUAAAUGUGGAGCCGUAGCGAAAGCGAGUCUGAAUAGGGCGUUUAGUAUUUGGUCGUAGACCCGAAACCAGGUGAUCUACCCUUGGUCAGGUUGAAGUUCAGGUAACACUGAAUGGAGGACCGAACCGACUUACGUUGAAAAGUGAGCGGAUGAACUGAGGGUAGCGGAGAAAUUCCAAUCGAACCUGGAGAUAGCUGGUUCUCUCCGAAAUAGCUUUAGGGCUAGCCUCAAGUGAUGAUUAUUGGAGGUAGAGCACUGUUUGGACGAGGGGCCCCUCUCGGGUUACCGAAUUCAGACAAACUCCGAAUGCCAAUUAAUUUAACUUGGGAGUCAGAACAUGGGUGAUAAGGUCCGUGUUCGAAAGGGAAACAGCCCAGACCACCAGCUAAGGUCCCAAAAUAUAUGUUAAGUGGAAAAGGAUGUGGCGUUGCCCAGACAACUAGGAUGUUGGCUUAGAAGCAGCCAUCAUUUAAAGAGUGCGUAAUAGCUCACUAGUCGAGUGACACUGCGCCGAAAAUGUACCGGGGCUAAACAUAUUACCGAAGCUGUGGAUUGUCCUUUGGACAAUGGUAGGAGAGCGUUCUAAGGGCGUUGAAGCAUGAUCGUAAGGACAUGUGGAGCGCUUAGAAGUGAGAAUGCCGGUGUGAGUAGCGAAAGACGGGUGAGAAUCCCGUCCACCGAUUGACUAAGGUUUCCAGAGGAAGGCUCGUCCGCUCUGGGUUAGUCGGGUCCUAAGCUGAGGCCGACAGGCGUAGGCGAUGGAUAACAGGUUGAUAUUCCUGUACCACCUAUAAUCGUUUUAAUCGAUGGGGGGACGCAGUAGGAUAGGCGAAGCGUGCGAUUGGAUUGCACGUCUAAGCAGUAAGGCUGAGUAUUAGGCAAAUCCGGUACUCGUUAAGGCUGAGCUGUGAUGGGGAGAAGACAUUGUGUCUUCGAGUCGUUGAUUUCACACUGCCGAGAAAAGCCUCUAGAUAGAAAAUAGGUGCCCGUACCGCAAACCGACACAGGUAGUCAAGAUGAGAAUUCUAAGGUGAGCGAGCGAACUCUCGUUAAGGAACUCGGCAAAAUGACCCCGUAACUUCGGGAGAAGGGGUGCUCUUUAGGGUUAACGCCCAGAAGAGCCGCAGUGAAUAGGCCCAAGCGACUGUUUAUCAAAAACACAGGUCUCUGCUAAACCGUAAGGUGAUGUAUAGGGGCUGACGCCUGCCCGGUGCUGGAAGGUUAAGAGGAGUGGUUAGCUUCUGCGAAGCUACGAAUCGAAGCCCCAGUAAACGGCGGCCGUAACUAUAACGGUCCUAAGGUAGCGAAAUUCCUUGUCGGGUAAGUUCCGACCCGCACGAAAGGCGUAACGAUUUGGGCACUGUCUCAACGAGAGACUCGGUGAAAUCAUAGUACCUGUGAAGAUGCAGGUUACCCGCGACAGGACGGAAAGACCCCGUGGAGCUUUACUGUAGCCUGAUAUUGAAAUUCGGCACAGCUUGUACAGGAUAGGUAGGAGCCUUUGAAACGUGAGCGCUAGCUUACGUGGAGGCGCUGGUGGGAUACUACCCUAGCUGUGUUGGCUUUCUAACCCGCACCACUUAUCGUGGUGGGAGACAGUGUCAGGCGGGCAGUUUGACUGGGGCGGUCGCCUCCUAAAAGGUAACGGAGGCGCUCAAAGGUUCCCUCAGAAUGGUUGGAAAUCAUUCAUAGAGUGUAAAGGCAUAAGGGAGCUUGACUGCGAGACCUACAAGUCGAGCAGGGUCGAAAGACGGACUUAGUGAUCCGGUGGUUCCGCAUGGAAGGGCCAUCGCUCAACGGAUAAAAGCUACCCCGGGGAUAACAGGCUUAUCUCCCCCAAGAGUUCACAUCGACGGGGAGGUUUGGCACCUCGAUGUCGGCUCAUCGCAUCCUGGGGCUGUAGUCGGUCCCAAGGGUUGGGCUGUUCGCCCAUUAAAGCGGUACGCGAGCUGGGUUCAGAACGUCGUGAGACAGUUCGGUCCCUAUCCGUCGUGGGCGUAGGAAAUUUGAGAGGAGCUGUCCUUAGUACGAGAGGACCGGGAUGGACAUACCUCUGGUGUACCAGUUGUCGUGCCAACGGCAUAGCUGGGUAGCUAUGUGUGGACGGGAUAAGUGCUGAAAGCAUCUAAGCAUGAAGCCCCCCUCAAGAUGAGAUUUCCCAACUUCGGUUAUAAGAUCCCUCAAAGAUGAUGAGGUUAAUAGGUUCGAGGUGGAAGCAUGGUGACAUGUGGAGCUGACGAAUACUAAUCGAUCGAAGACUUAAUCAA
rnacentral:rRNA from 1 species